rnacentral:rRNA from 1 species
GACGAACGCUGGCGGCGCGCUUAACACAUGUAAGUCGAACGGACAGUCUCUGCUACUGGGGUUUGCUCGCGUGGCGAACGGGCGACUUACCCGUGAGUCACCUGCCCUUGACCAAGGGAUAACUUCCGGAAACUCGGGCUAAUACCGUAUAUGAGCCUCUGCUGCAUGGUGGGGUGUGACAAUUUUCGGUGGUUGGGGAUGGUCUCGCCGGUUCACAGCUUGUUUGUGUGGUAAUGGCUUAGCAAGGGUUUGACGGGUAGCCGGCCUGACAAGGUGACCUGCCACAGUGCGACUGUGGUACUGCACAGACUCCUACGGGGGCCAGCAGUGGCGAAUAUUGCACAAUCGGCGGAAGCCUGACGCAGCACCGCCGCGUGCGGGAUGAAGGCCUUCGGGUUGUCACCCUCUUUCGCCUGUGACGAAGCGUGAGUGACGGUACUGGGUAAAGAAGCACCGGCUAACUACGUG